CGCGGGCGGGGCCCGCCCCAAAGCCUCUUAAGCUCCUCCGGAGGCUGCCGGGAGCCACGGGGGAGUUUCUGCGGUUCUGUAUGGGAGACGGAGUGAGUUCUGUUUCUUUGUCGGGCCCUGGCGCUGCUGAGGCUGAGAAGCGGUACGCGGGGUUUUUUUGGGGGGGAGGGGGACGGAGCCUUGAGGUUUUCUUUAAUGUUUUCCUGGUGUCGUUUUGUUUCAGGCUGCUGUGAGACCUUUUGUGGUAAGGACCAGCCCAAACAGGUGAGCGGUUCGGGUAGUAAGGGGACGGCGAGCGCUCGGGAGCCGCCAGGAUCUCCGGAGCAGGCGGCUGUCGGGGCCGGCGUUAGGUCGCCGCCGGGCUCCCCCGGCUGUGCGGAGCCGAUACGGCGCCGCCGCCCGGCUGCCGUCGCGUUUUCGGAGGCGGCUGCUGCUCAGCCCCCCGAGUCAUCGCACAGCCCCGGGGUGCUCUCAGCCCCCCCAUCCUCGGGAUUUCUUUCAGCGGGUGCUUCAUUUCUUCAGGCUCUCUUCCGUAGGAGCGAACGCGAUGGGGCCGUAUUCGUGCAGCCUCGGUGCUGCCGGGAGAGAGAAGCGAGGCGAAGGGCUGCUGAAACAAAAGGUUUCUCGUGUUGCAGGCUGAGCGAGAGCUGUAGCAGAGCCUCUCAUCGGCCCGAAGCAGUGAGCUCGUGGAAGCGGUGAGUGUUUGAGAGUCGCUCGGUAAGAUCUCUCGUGCUAGGGCUCCUGUAGGGUUGCUGCUCGACUGCCUCUGUCUUUGGGAUCGGCACGGCGCCGCCGCUGGGCUCCCGUGUGGCUUUUUUAGUAGGACCGGCACGGGGCCUCCGCCCGAGACCGAGCACGAUCCCGGGGUGGCCUCGGCCACUGCGGAGUGUUUUGCGGGUGCUCUCACCCAUCCCGUUUCCAGCGGUGGGAGCGAGCAGGUUGGGACCGUGGUUUUAUUUUUUUUUCCCCGCCUCUUCCUUCCCGUGUAACUGCAGGAGCACGAUUUAGGUUCCCACCGUGGAGACCUGGCAGGGCAGCUCGCACGACUGGAGUGCUGUCGUGGAUGGCUGUGUUCCUUUUAGGAAAGACAGACCGGCCAGACGGUGGAGUCUCUCUUCGAGGGAGAGAACGGGAACGUAUCGAGCUCCACCUAGGGGUGAAUGAAGAACCAGCGGAGCGUUUGUGCGUGAGGCUGAAGAGGCAGCUGGAAAUGGUGCCCACAGCUGUGAGGCCAGUUCUCAUGGUAGGCUCCAGGAGUUUCCUGCAAUGUGUCAAAGGAAGGCCAGGGGCAGCCUGGAGCGUGCCAGUCGUGAGACCACAGCGUUUGGGAUCUUGUGUGGAAGCUGCAAAGCAAUGACAUAGGAAGGGGUCCCGUGAAUGCUGGAGCAUUACUUCGUCCAUGCUGAGGUGCGCUGUGUCCCAAGGAGGAAGGAACUGCGCAGGAAUGGUGGGGGACCUGCAGGGCUGACUGAGGAACUUGAUGGGGAGAAGGAAGAGAGAGGCUGAGGAAGGCCAAGUCCCUCUGAGUAUCAGCUUUGGGAGGGAGGUCAAGGCUAAUGGAAGUUUGUCAACAGGAGAGACUGGAGAAAUUGCAGGCCUGCGCUUUACAAGGCGGAGGCCUGAGUAAUGAGGCCUGAGGCGGAGGCCUCUUGGGUUCAG
ensembl:lncRNA